GUCGAGCGGGGAAAGGUAGCUUGCUACUUUACCUAGCGGCGGACGGGUGAGUAAUGCUUAGGAAUCUGCCUAUUAGUGGGGGACAACAUCUCGAAAGGGAUGCUAAUACCGCAUACGUCCUACGGGAGAAAGCAGGGGACCUUCGGGCCUUGCGCUAAUAGAUGAGCCUAAGUCGGAUUAGCUAGUUGGUGGGGUAAAGGCCUACCAAGGCGACGAUCUGUAGCGGGUCUGAGAGGAUGAUCCGCCACACUGGGACUGAGACACGGCCCAGACUCCUACGGGAGGCAGCAGUGGGGAAUAUUGGACAAUGGGGGGAACCCUGAUCCAGCCAUGCCGCGUGUGUGAAGAAGGCCUUUUGGUUGUAAAGCACUUUAAGCGAGGAGGAGGCUACCGAGAUUAAUACUCUUGGAUAGUGGACGUUACUCGCAGAAUAAGCACCGGCUAACUCUGUGCCAGCAGCCGCGGUAAUACAGAGGGUGCAAGCGUUAAUCGGAUUUACUGGGCGUAAAGCGCGCGUAGGUGGCCAAUUAAGUCAAAUGUGAAAUCCCCGAGCUUAACUUGGGAAUUGCAUUCGAUACUGGUUGGCUAGAGUAUGGGAGAGGAUGGUAGAAUUCCAGGUGUAGCGGUGAAAUGCGUAGAGAUCUGGAGGAAUACCGAUGGCGAAGGCAGCCAUCUGGCCUAAUACUGACACUGAGGUGCGAAAGCAUGGGGAGCAAACAGGAUUAGAUACCCUGGUAGUCCAUGCCGUAAACGAUGUCUACUAGCCGUUGGGGCCUUUGAGGCUUUAGUGGCGCAGCUAACGCGAUAAGUAGACCGCCUGGGGAGUACGGUCGCAAGACUAAAACUCAAAUGAAUUGACGGGGGCCCGCACAAGCGGUGGAGCAUGUGGUUUAAUUCGAUGCAACGCGAAGAACCUUACCUGGUCUU
rnacentral:rRNA from 1 species